GUAAACGGGUGGCGUCAAGCUGCGAACCCAGAGGAUUCAGCUGGCUAGGAUGUUGUGAUGCGCCUGGCGCAUCCAUCAGUCGGAAUAAGAUGUGAUAGUCCACUGGGAGACGGUGGGCCCGGCCGUAAGGUUGGGAUAUGUGUACCGGGUGUUAGCCGGAGCAUGCUAUUCAUCUGUUGGGCUGUCUAGUCAGUGCAUUUUCUCUGUGGUGAACACCACGACCGGUGGAAUUGCCAGUCUGCUGUAGUCGAGUCUUGCUGAGAGGGUCCUUGUGGCCAACUUGGUGAGAUCACAGGCAAUGUCAGUGUACGGCGUGGGAGUGCCUUUGGUGUUCCUACGUGUUAUCGGGCGCUGCUUGUCAACGGGCCUGCUCGGCGGUUGUUGUAACUGCUGCUGGGUGGUCUGGUGGGCUAUGGUGGUAAGAAUAACUGUGCAAGGCACCGGAGUUGGCGGCUCCAAAUGCGCUCUGCACUGGCAUGUUACAAGUGCGAGGGGGGGUGCCAUUGCGGUCUGCCUGUUGUUGAGUCUGAUUGUCGUGUCGCCUGCGCAAAGUGGGCCCGGCAGUGGCUUGAUGCAGGAUGGGCUGUGGAUGGUGUCUCUCAGGUGUAGAGUGCAGGGAGCCCAAUAGUCAGUGGUGCUGUGGUAGACGAGCUACCCGACCCGUCUUGAAACACGGACCAAGGAGUUUAACAUGUAUGCGAGUCAAGGGGUCCUACGAAACCCAAAGGCGCAAUGAAAGUAAAGCUUCGACUUGUCUCGGAGUGAGGUGAGAUCCUGCCGUAACUCGCAUCGCUUGGUGCCAGCAUCAGGCAAAGAGCGGUGGGCGCAUCACCGGCCCGUCUUAUGAUGUGGUCAUUGGAUGUCUGCGGUCGUUCUUGU
rnacentral:rRNA from 1 species